UUGGCCAGACUGGUCUUGAAUUCCUGACCUCAGGUGAUCUGCCUGCUGCUGGGAUUACAGGCGUGAGCCACCACACCUGGCCACCUGUUCUCUUCUUGAAGGCUGUGUCCCUUUUCAAAGUCGCCUUUCCUCUUCAGUAAGUCUAACUAACGAAGGAUGCCAAUUCUGCGCUUCUCAGUAACUACGAGGUGUUUCAGUUACUAACUGAUCUGAAAGAACAGCGUAAAGAAAGUGGAAAGAGGCCAGGCGCGGUGGCUCAAGCCUGUAAUUCCAGCACUUUGGGAGGCCAAGACGGGCAGAUCACGAGGUCAGGAGAUCGAGACCAUCCUAGCUAACCCGGUGAAACCC